GCCAGUACUAGGGAAAAUUCAUUCACAUGUGUUAGAACCUCACAACACUUUUUUAUGAUAAUUGCACAAAACAAAACUAAAAACAACUUGAAAGUUUCAGAAUGAGUUUUAAUGAAACAGAAAUGUGGUUUUAUUUAAAUGAAUUAUUCUGCCAAUGGUACAGAUAAUUGGUAAUAAUACAUGGAAAAUUCUCAUUUUUUAAAUGAUUAUACAAAUAAAUAUAUAAAAAUAUAAUAUACGGAAUACAUACAUACAUACAUAUCUAUAUCUAUAUCUAUAUAUAAUUGCUUACAGUCUUGUUUUGCUUCAGUCCUAUCCAGAAGUUGCCUCCUUUACCCUUGAGAAGGUCUUUCACAGCAUCCAUUUCUUCUUGGUUCUCGAUGGUGGCCAGGGUGGCGGGGAACCUGGAGGCUAUCCCAGGCAACAUGGGGCACAAGGUGGGGUACACCCUGGACAGGGUGCCAAGCCAUUGCAGGGCACAAUCACACAGACGUUCACAUACCACAGACACUUUUGGACAUGCCAAUCAGCCUACAGCACAUGUCUUUGGACUGGUGGGGUAAACCGGAGUACCUGGAUGAAACUCCCAAAGCACGGGGAGAACAUACAAACUCCACACACAGAGGGCAGUGGCAGGAAUCAAAGCCCCAACCCUGGAGGUGUGAGGCAAGCAUGCUAACUACUAAACCACCAUGCUCCCAGGAAUGUAAUUAUUAACCUAAAAUCUAAAUUCCACAAUGUGACUGUAAAGGUGCUCUGAUGUGUGUGUGUGUGUGUGUGUGUGUGUGUGUGUGUGUGUGUGUGUGUGUGUGUGUGUGUGUGUGUGUGUGUGUGUGUGUGUGUGUGUGUGUGUCUCUC